AAAAAAAAAAAAUCUCUCCACACAACAAACAUUUCUCCAACCUCCUCCCUCCCAAAAUAUUCCCAACACUUCAAUUUUCCCACAGAACCCCACGCCCAUCUCUUGGCCAUCUCUGUCUCCCACGCAUCAGGCAUCACUCUCAGAAAAUUCACUUGAAAAAAAAAAAAAGAAACAUUCCUCCACCCUUCCCCGCCCCCCAAAAAAACUCUCCUCUCUCGACUCCCCUAUCUCUCUUUCUAUGGUAAAAAAAAAAAACUUUCACAACUAAUAAGACACUGACUCACAACCCAAUUUUCGGCUGUCUCUCUUUCCUUUUCUCACAAAUCAUGCACAAAAGAGGGAGAAAGAAGCAAGAAAAUUGUUAUCCGCCUACGGAAAUCAUCAUCAUGGUCAUCAUUGUUUAGUUUUUCCCCUGCAAAACAAGGUUAGAGUGGUCAGGUCCAAGUACUGCAACAUGGCAACCCAAAUGCAUUGAAAUGGUCCAAUAUAUAUAUUUAUGUAAUCAGAAACCAAAAUUUGCAAUUUAGUCCCUAAUUUUUUGAGUAUUUUUAUUGUGGCUCUAAAAUUUUUGAUUUAUUUUAUUUAGGUCCUUAAUUUAAUUAUAUUUUGGUCCCUAAACUUUAUUUUUCUUUUGAUUUUGACCUCUAAUCUCUUUAAAUAUUAUAAUUUGAUCCAAAAGCUUUUAAAUUUUUGUAAUUAGGUCCCUGAUCUUUAUUAUUUCUUAAUUACAAUUGUUCAUCUCUAAUUGUUAAUCAUGCUUAAUUUAAAUGCAUUUAAUUCGUAAAUUUUAGGAAUUUUAUGUUUAUUCAUAUUUUUUAUAAUAAUAAAGUGAAUUUGCUAUAUGUUUACAUUUUCUUUUAAAUUAUUAAUUAAAUUGGUGCAUUGACUAUUUUGUUGAUUUUGUAGUAUAAAUAGGGUAAACUCUACCUCAUUUAGUCACUAUUUCAAGAGACGUAUCCUCUAUUAUUUUUAAAUUUCUUUUUGUGUGCUUCUAUAUAUUUUCUAUAUGUGUGAUUGCAUGUUUUAAGUGUUUUUUCUUUCAUUUUAUUCAUUUUUUUAGCUUUCAUUCAUUUCAAGUUUUCAUUUAUUUUAUUUAAUUUUUUAUGAUUAUUUGGGAGGUAUUUAAAGGCCAAAUUGUAAUAGAUAGGUGCCUAAGAAACGUAUUUAGCUAGGCCAUAUAAUAGAUAGAUUUUAUUUUUUGCCAAAAAUAUAAUUAGUUAGAUAAAUGUAAUAGAUAGGUUUAUUAUUUUUUAAAAUCCCCCUUUUAGAUUGUAGUUAGGGCUCCCAAUAUAAUAAUUAAGUAUUAUUUGCUUGCAUACUUGUGUGUUUAUAUGCUUAUGUGUUUUUCGCUUGUUUAGGAUUUUUGUAUAUAGAUAUUAUGCUUAUGUGCUAUGUACUCUACAUACUUUAUAUGUUUUAUGUGUUUAUUCGAUUUAAUUAUGUUUUAUAUGCUUUAUUUAUUUAUAAUGAGUGCAUGACGUCAUCACACUAGUCCAAUGCUAGUUGUGAUUUUUUCCCCGAUUUCUCAUUAGUCCAACGCUAGUUAGGACUUGUAAAAAUGAGUUAACCUAAUGCUAGACCCUUUACGCUAUCGAUACGCUAGAUUCAUGCUUUAGUGUGAUUUUUAUUGUAGCUCAUUUAUUUUUUCCUAUUUUUAGGAUUUUUUAUCAUUUGCAUGAUAUUUUUCCUAUUAUUAUUCUCUUACCCUUUAUAUGUUUGGAUCAUAUCAUUUAGAAUUGCAUUUAAUUUUAGAAAAUUAGAAAUAUGGUAGUCCAUUUGCUUGUUUAGAUUAGAAGAGUCACCCUUCGAACAUGAAAAAUGGACAAGUAUGAUUUUUUAACAUUAGCACGCUAUUACCCCUCUAUAAGAAGGAAAAUUGUCACGAAUUUUAGUCUUCCAUAUUCAUUAUGUUGUAUUCCCCCUUCUAGGUCAUGUACAUUUAUCCAUAUAUUAUAAUUUCCUUUUUUGAAUAUCAUCUUUUGUAUUUUUCGUGACCUCUUCAAAGAAUUACUCUUAGGUAUCACAAUUAAUGUGAUUGGUACCAAUUAAAUUUUGAAAAGAUAUUUCGACUCUCUAGAUAUCCCUUAGAUCUAGAUUUGCAUUCAUAUAGAAGCAUCCAAAACGUGAUAAGUUUUAUAAGUUAGACUAGAAAAAUUUUCGAUUAAAUCUCGCAACUGCUCAUUGGUUAGGAUGAAAGGGUGUCUUAAAUCAAAAUCUUUGCCUUCUCUUUCUUUAACUGUGACUUUCGAAUUCUUUUCUCUUAUUUUUAAAGAUAUGGAGUCGUCUAUGUAAACAUCAAAUUUUUGUCAAUUUUUAACGUUUUCUUGGAUUUUCAUCUAUUUAAUGAGCUAUCUGUUUUCCUGCAUCUUAAUUUUAUUUAUUCAUUUAUUUUUUCUUUUUCUCAUCUUUGUUUUAUUUUUAAGAAAAGGAAAAUAUGAAAAAAAAAAA